CCCUAAAAAGUCCUUUAAACAUAAAGG
rnacentral:tRNA from 1 species